UACAAAGCCCUUUUAAGGGCUACAAAUACGAUUUUCUAAGAGAAAG
rfam:Drosophila virilis strain TSC#15010-1051.87 Ctg01_17149, whole genome shotgun sequence.